rnacentral:rRNA from 1 species
GUCUGUGGCCACCCCCCGGACACGCCUGGUCUCCUCUGAUCUUGGAAGAUAAGCAGGGUCGGGCCUAGGUGGGAGACUGCCUGGGGGUGCUGGGUGCUUAAAAAAGGGAAAAAAUAUGAAAACACAGACA